CUGCAUCUACAGGAAAUCCCAAUCAUCUUCGGAUUAAGCCUUCUGAAAUUGACAACAGAAGCGAUUGAAACUGCACUCAUAACUCAAUUAGAUCAUCCCAUCUCAAAACAACAACAGCGUCAGCGAUGAAGAUCAGCAAACGAAUACAUGUUCGCGAAGUCUGGGAAGACAACCUCGUAGCUGAAUUUUCUCUAACAAGGAAGCAAUCUCUUGCUUCUCCUUCAUUUCACUGGACACUGAAUUCCCUGGUCCAGUUGCUGCUGCUGGUGAUGGUGGUUAGUCCAUGCUCCUGCUGUAUCUAUGCUGAUUCUGCUGCUCCAUGUUGCACUCGCUAUGCUCCCCACUCUGUUUUUGCUCACGCGGUAUUCCUUACACCUUUAUGUUCGCAGUCGCAGCCCUCGUUGAUCAUGAUCAGUGUUGUCUUUGGUUUAAAAUGAGUAACGAGUUUUUUUGGUAUGUUAUUAGAUGGCUUAAUCGUCUUGGAAUUUAGUAUGAAGACAAACUUUGUUGCUGUGUUUCCACAAAAGCUCAAUUGAUAUUGCCUUAACCACAGACAAACAGUAAAUCAAAUCUAGAAACCAUCAGCAUCCCCAGCUAUCAGAAUUUAAGCCUAAUUUAUCUGCAGAGUCUCAUCAGCAUGUUCACACCAGAGGAUUCGAGAGACUAAAUACUUCUCAAAUGAAAUCUUUGCUAACUGAUGAUGACCUUGAUACCUCCAGAUAGAGACAUGGCUCAAGCUUCCAAUUGAUCAAAGAAACUCUAUUAUAAUCAACGCGAAGUAUUUUUAAUUUAUUAAGUUCUUAACAUGAAAGACUAAGAACAUGUGCUAAAACACAGACCACAAUACAAAUAUAAGUUUUUAUUAAAUCAGAAACGCUCCUAACAGUCUUAAAA